AUUCUGCCCAUGCGGGGAAGGAUGAGAAGCUUCGACCAAGGUUCGACUCGAGCGCCAGCGAGAGAGCGUUGCCGCAGGCAACGACCCGAAGGGCGAAGCGCGCAGCGCUGAGUAAACCUUCCCCCACCACCA
rnacentral:sRNA from 1 species